UUUUUUUAUUUGUAAAGUUACAUAUCAACUCGUGGAAUCAGCUUCACAGGCAUAAUCUUUUUAUAGGAAUUAUUUUGAUUCAUUAAAAUCGCUUGAACAAUUGCGACCACUAUAAUGUUUUCUUUAUUUGGAAGGCGGUGUAUCUCAGCCUAUGAAAUCAAUACUCUUUCCACCUCUCCAAUUUCAAUCAUCACUCAUCAGGAUCCGGAACAUAUCUCGUAAAACAUCUCUAAAAUUGAUGAGCAGUCAACGUCAGCACCCAGUAACAAUUUACACUAGGUGGCUGCAAAAUAGCAAAAAGCAAAUCAAGAUAUGUUUUCAAACAGAAGAAAUACUACUAUCAACCAAAUUAAGCAAUUAAACAUCAAAAUUGUGUCAGAUGGUAAAAGCAAAAGAUUUGCAUGAGCUUAAAAAAAUGCCUCAGAUUAGCAUUUUGGCACAUUCCUCAUCGCAAGCAACAACCCAUGUAGGAGAAAACUCUACACAGAGCGCAAAAAUUGUUGUUGCCGUUCAUGUCCAAAAGUUCUCCUCAUCGGCAGUAACAAGUCAAGCAAAUCAAUUCAAUUAUAGUUAAAGAAAAAUCCCAUAAAAAUUUGACUAUAAAGAAUUGGUCAUGUAAUGGCGUUUGGAGGCGGGCUUGUGAGAAGGAGAAGAUGAGUACCCAAAAGAGAGAUUAGGCGAAGAACCAAUAAUUUCUCAAUCAGAAAUACCCAUCAAGCACAAAAAACCCGUACUAUGAUGCCAUUAAUUUUGAUGUCUGGUGCUGGAAAAGCAGGGCAUCCGGUAGAGAACCUACCGGCUUUUGGGAGCCACUGAUUUAUACUGCUCUUCCCUGUUUAAUCCAGACCCAUUUUGCCUCCCUUGUCAAGAUGGAGAAUAACUAAUUGAUCUGAGAAACACGGGUAAAGAGCGGAUGUAGAUCUAAACGCCGGUAUAGUAACAGCGUUUAGGGUUGAGACCUAGCUCAUCUAGUUCACUCCUG
rnacentral:misc_RNA from 1 species